GUGUCCCAGGAAGGAUCCAUCCUCAAUGACUCCUGGAGCCUUGAUGAUCUGGAUCGGAACUACACCUGCACAGCUAUGAACCCUGCUAGCAAUAGCAUCUCUAGCCACAUCCUUGCUCGGGAGCUUUGUGCAGGUUCCAAGGCAGCUGCAGGCACUUAUUGCCCAGUGACAUGGAUUCUGCUGGGGAAGGGGCUUCUUCUCCUCAUGGUCCUGGGGGUUCUAUGAACUUGGCACAUCCGGACACAGAUGCUCAGCAAACUCCUUAUGUCUAACUCAGGGCCAUGAAGGCCACUAGUGCCCCAGGAGAGCCUGGAUGAGGCCAUUGCUUCUCUGUUGCUCAAUUAAAUUACAGUAUAGACCUCUACUCUUUUCAAGGUGUAGUACUAUGGAUUGUCAAAGACCAAUGGGAUAAAAUUUCAUAUCUUCCGUGUGUGAGCCCAUGUGUGUGCACACUGCAUGAGAAUGAGAACAAAAAGAGAUAAAAUAUUUGUAUCAAUACCAUGUUAUCUAUUCUAAGAAGCAAAUUCCCCCAUAAUUUAAGGUUUCUGGAAUCAAGAUGAGUCAUAAUAUUAAUGUGUAGGGCUAAAAGGGAUAGUGUAUUUUUCUCCUGAAAUACUGUUAUUAAAAUAAUACUGCUUUCAAAAAUCA